ACGAUAAACGACAACUGCCAAAUUUGUUAACUGGGAAUUGCGAACGAAUCCGGCUAAACGUCAAGCAUGUCGACUGUUUGUAAACAAACAUUUAACGUUUUUUUGUAAAAUCAAAAUUGGCACCAAAACCACUUUCCGUCCAAUGCUUGACUGCUUCUGAAGCCGCUACUGAACAAAUCAUGAAGAACUUUAUUGUAAAAAGUGUUGUCGUAUAUGAUGGAACUACAUGUACAUGAAAAUACAAACUCGAGUGGAUUGAUUGUCGAUAUUCCGUUGUAACGAUCCUUAUUGAAUUUCCUAGAGCCCUGUUCGAUGCUCGUUAUUUUGAUGUUUUUGAAAACUGGUGAAGACUAUGGCCCUGUUGCCAAACGUUUGCAAAGUAACAAUUACAUGGUGCUCCUGUCAGCCCGAUGUGUUCAACAGUGGAUCAUCAAACCAAAAGCAGGAGAUGGUGUUGAGGUUGAUGCUACAAGUGUUUUAAGGUAAGCCCCUUCUUGAAACAAACC